ensembl:lncRNA
CUCCUACUGUUGCUAUUGUCCUAUUGGCUUUGUCCUGCUGCACCUACAUAUGCAAUCCUCAAGAACCACUCUCAUCAUUCAGCUUGUGCAAGUUUGCCACUAACGCCUGUGUAUCUACUCCUUCCUAGGUGAAUCGAGCCCUCGUCCACGCAGAAGAGCCAGAGCGUAUAGCGAUGGUUCACUGUGUGCUUCCAUCAAUGCAGAGCUGCUAGGAAGCACGAAUCGCUGCAGCUCGGAUGAUAGCCUUCCAUAUAACACCAGUGAUGGAAUGAAGGUGCUCAUCCAAGUGGAAGCCCUCAUCUCUCCCAGCUGUGCUGAAGACGCUGACCUGAGCCUGCCAGAAACAACGGUCACCGAGCUGGACUGUGACGGGGCGCCAUUGCAGUGCAGCCCAGCCCAAGCACAGCCCGAGUGCCCCGACAGCAGCAGCUCCACGCAGGAUCAGGUCAGCGUCAGCGAGGAGGAGCCGAGC